UGAGUGGAUGGGAGCAACCUAGUUGUGCGUGUGUAAAGGUAGUGCCAAGAAAAGCGAUGAUCAUGUUGAAAAUCAAUUCCCGGUACCCGAAACCGACACAGGUGGGCAAGUAGAGAAUACUAAGGGGCGCGAGGUAACUCUCUCCAAGGAACUCGGCAAAAUGACCCCGUAACUUAGGGAGAAGGGGUGCCACCGAGAGGUGGUCGCAGUGAAGAGGCCCAGGCGACUGUUUAGCAAAAACAUAGGUCUCUGCAAACUCGAAAGAGGAGGUAUAGGGGCUGACGCCUGCCCAGUGCCGGAAGGUUAAAGAAGUUGGUCAGUUUUAGGAUGAAGCUAGCGACUGAAGCCCGGUGAACGGCGGCCGUAACUAUAACGGUCCUAAGGUAGCGAAAUUCCUUGUCGGGUAAGUUCCGACCCGCACGAAAGGCGUAACGAUCUGGGCGCUGUCCCGGAGAGAGGCUCGGCGAAAUAGGAUUGUCUGUGAAGAUACGGACUACCUGCAUUUGGACAGAAAGACCCUAUGAAGCUUUACUAUAGCUUGGAAUUGUGUUCGGGCUUCCUGUGCGCAGGAUAGGUGGGAGGCGUAGAAGGUAUUCUUGUGGGGAUACUGGAGCCAACGGUGAGAUACCACUCUCAGGAGGCUAGAAUUCUAACUUAAUUAAGGACAGUUUCAGGUGGGUAGUUUGACUGGGGCGGUCGCCUCCAAAAAGGUAACGGAGGCGUACAAAGGUUCCCUCAGACUGGUUGGAAAUCAGUCGAAGAGUGCAAAGGCAGAAGGGAGCUUGACUGCGAGAAGUACAGUUCGAGCAGGGUGGAAACACGGUCUUAGUGAUCCGACGGUGCUGUGUGGAAGGGCCGUCGCUCAACGGAUAAAAGUUACUCUAAGGAUAACAGGCUGAUCUCCCCCAAGAGUUCACAUCGACGGGGAGGUUUGGCACCUCGAUGUCGGCUCAUCGCAACCUGGGGCGGAAGUACGUCCCAAGGGUUGGGCUGUUCGCCCAUUAAAGCGGUACGUGAGCUGGGUUCAGAACGUCGUGAGACAGUUCGGUCCAUAUCCGAUGUAGGCGUGAGAAUAUUGAGAGGAGCCUUCCUUAGUACGAGAGGACCGGGAAGGACGCACCGCUGGUCUACCUGUUAUGAUGCCAAUUGUAAACGCAGGGUAGCCAAGUGCGGAGAGGAUAACCGCUGAAAGCAUCUAAGUGGGAAGCCCACCUCAAGAUGAGUAUUCUGGUGUAAGGUCACGGGAAGACGACCCGUAAAUAGGCACGAGGUGGAGGUGCAGAGAUGUAUGAAGCCGAAGUGUACUAAUAGACCGUCGGCUUGACC
rnacentral:rRNA from 1 species